UUUUAUCAUCUAUGAUGAUGUUGGUGAUGACAAUAUCAAUGGAAAAUCAUCAUCAUCAUCAUCAUCAACU
rnacentral:pre_miRNA from 1 species